ACAACUUUCAACAACGGAUCUCUCGGCUCUCGCAUCGAUGAAGAACACAGCGAAAUGUGAUAAGUAAUGUGAAUUGCAGUAUCCAGUGAAUCAUCGAAUCUUUGAACGCAUCUUGCGCUCCUUGGUAUUCCGAGGAGCAUGCCUGUUUGAGUGUCGUUAA
rnacentral:rRNA from 1 species